rnacentral:pre_miRNA from 1 species
UACUAGAAAACAAGUAAGUGUAAUUCCCCCUAAACAUUAAAAUAUGUUGACAUGAGGAGGAACAUAUUUACUAGUUAUAUUGUC